rnacentral:lncRNA from 1 species
AUGGCUUCUCUUGUAGAAGAUGCAAGUUUGCUGGAUGAUGCAAGUUUGCUGGAUGAAACCGGUUUUACUUCUUGGAAGAUGAAGAGUUCUUCACUUGUAAUAAAUGUUCACACCUUUCUGCUAUAUUUAUUUUGCAGGUAUGUAGAUAUGCUCAGAGAUUUUUAUGCCAGAAGACUUAGGAGAACAAUCAAAUACCUUUCAGAUGUUCAUAUGUGUUACCCUCUCAGAGAAGCCUUCUCUGGUCUCCAAAGUCUAAAUUUGGGGCCCUCUGGUUAUUUCUUCACUUAGCAAAUAGUUAGUUGAUUUAAUGUCUAACUCAGGAGAGUAGAAGCUUCAUUAAGACCUUGUCUAUUUUUUUGAUGUACACACCCAGCACUUAGCUAACACGUAGAUGCAUUCAAAGAACAUUUGUUAAAUGAACAAAUGAAUAAAGCAAAGAGCAGAUGUUUUCA